AUGCAGAUGAUCAGUCGAGUACACAUGAAUAUCCCAGAUAUCCACCCGACAGCAGUGAUAGCGGCGUUCCAGUCCAACGUGUUCAACCGCAGGAUACGUUCCAAAAUGAACAUGCGGUUGCCCAAGACUGUGAAUGAGUUGUACACUCUGGUGGAUAAGUGUGCUCGCGUAGAAGAGGGAAGGCGGCUUCCCGGUGAAGAGGAUGGCGUCGAUGUUGACUCAGAGGACGACAACGACACCUCCAACCAGAAGAAAAAGGGAAAGAAGCGCAACAAGAAGUGCAAAGAUAAAGUUGUGAUGGACGUUGAAGGAUCGAGCACACCGAAUACCAGUAAGAAGGUCAAGGCCGAGGCCCCCGGCAAGGAAGCUGCCACGUGCACUGACUGCCGGGAAGCUGCUGCUGCGGAGAAAGCUGGGAAAGGUGAUGGCCCAUACUGUAAGAUCCACAGGACAAAGGGCUACGUUCUUCAGGAGUGUCAUCAGGUUGAGCAGCUUGUCAAGAAGUAG
rnacentral:rRNA from 1 species